AGCCUGGGAUACCAUGGGGUCUGAGGACAGCGUGAUAAUGUGAUCACACACCCCAGACAGCAUUUUACACUGCAGAGAGAGAGAAAAAGUUUUUGUGAAAACCAAAAUGCCCAGGAUUGAACUCAGAGAGGGCAGGAGACAGCAAGAGGCAGGAAGCACCAGAGGAACAGAGAUGAUGAUAAACCUCCUCAGAGUCAAGACACUGUGAAUGCAACACAUCUUCCAAGAGGUGUCAAGCUGGGAAAGAGCUUGGGAGCACUGAAGAGAGAGGCUCUGAGGAGUAUGGAGUGGGGGAUGAAUAUGUUCAAGGCCUGUGCUCCAAAUCAGACCUUCCCUAUUUACCCUCAGCUCCUCACCAUCUGUUGUGCUGCUGUUGUUGCUGCUGCUGCUGCUGCUGCUCUCUCUCUCUGUGUGUGUGUGUGUGUGUGUGUGUGUGUGUGUGUGUGUAUGUGCAUAUGCUGAGGGAAGUUAUCCAGUCUCAUAGUAUUCAGUACUGUGAAUGUAGC